CCCUCCUUCCUACAAAUGCAGAACAAAUACCUAUGUAUGUAUGUAUGUAAGUUAUUUAUGUCCAUAUGCCCAUUUGUAGAGAACUCAUAAAUAUUGUUAGCCCACUUUUUUAGUCGUUUUUGUUUUUUUUUUCAACGACGCUUACCUCAGCACUGCCACCUUUUGUACCUCCACUCACAACAGACAGUAAAACUUGCUCAUUUGCGCUCUGCCUGCCGCUCCAACAUCCGCUGCUUGCAUUUGGCCAAUACACAACAGCAACAACAAAAGUUAACCAAAAGAGUGACUGACUGGCUCCAGCAGCGGCCAAUCGCAUAAGUUCCAUAAUGUCGCCACUUCAAAUGUGAAGCGACGUUCGCAGCGAAUGGUUGGUGGAUCGUUGUUAUUAGUACUGCGUAGCCGUCGGCGUUAGCCGUGUCACAAAUAACAAGUGCAAAGGGAAAAAUCAAAUAAAAAAUAAAAAAUAAUAAAUAAAUAGGCAAAAAAUAAGAAGAAGCAGCAGAACAUUCGUUGUUGAUUCUUUGGUGUUUUUGGACACCCAGAGACGGCGCGUAUGACUCCAACUGAUGCGAGUGUAUUAAAUAACAGCACGGAAAGAAUGCAAAACUGAAGUGCAGUGAUAUUCAAAAUGAAUAUUUAAAAUCUUCUUCAUGCUAUUCAAGAAAGUGCCAUUGUUCUUGCUGCUUAGCAGUGACAGUGUUUCGAAAGUGCAAAAAUUUAAUUGAAAAUACGAAUUUCGACGGAAACGCAAUUUGAUAAAGAGUUUUUGAAACAAAAAAAAAAAUGCAAACAUACUACACAUUUCUAUGGUGACAUAUAAAGCAGCACAGUGUGCGUAACUUAAAAAUUUUGAGAGAAAAUAUUUUCAAAGAGGCAGAAUCUACAGCGCAUAAAUAAACACUGAAAUAUGCGACUUUGCAAAUGAAAUAUUUCUCUAUACGGCCCUGCACUGGAUGUUCCCUGAGCAGAAUUAAGUGUCAAUUAUUGCAUGGAAAAAAUUAUAUUUUACCUCAGAAAGCAAGAAAAUGAAUACGAAGAAAACAAAUUAGUACUAAUUGUGAACAGCUGCAGUGAAAAAGUGAAAAAUGCAACUCAAAGUCGAUCAGCGGUUUAUUGUUUUUGACCGUUACAACAAAACGAAAGCAAAGCAACGUGCUGCUGUCUACUAGCGUCGCUUACUGUUCGUAACUUUAAGCCUUUGAUCGUAGUGUUGCUUUGUUCUCAUAAAUGCUACUUUAGAAUAAACAUUUUUGCCUACCUAUACGAAAAUGUUAAUGGAUUAUGAAAAAACGUAUAAAGAAAUAAACUUAUUAAUGCUCCGCUCAAAACUGGAUUUCGACAAGUUUAACAUUCAACUUGUAUGUAUUUAUUGUCGUGGAUUACGUGGACUUAAUGACGUGAGCGGCUUACAAUUUUAUUAAAAACUAACAGGUAAACACACAAUUCUAAGCAAAGAUAUGUAUUUGUAAACUUUAUAUUGGAGAUGAAAUGCCAUAGAAUUUGUUGACUAAU